UAUUUGCAUUGCUAUAAACUAUUUAAUCUAUAGCAGCUGUGCAGGGAGAGCCCAGCUAUGAAAGGGGAAACUUUGGACUAACUUUCCCGUUCCUCAGUGGUGUUUGAAAUGUGUAUGUUUUCUUACAUUUGCAUCAGAUUUGGGGUCUGCCAGUUCUUUCUUCUUAUGCUCUAAUUUGAUAUUUCAUAUUAUUUCUUUUUGUUUUUAUUUUUUAGGACUGAAGACUUGAGAGGUCUCCUUCAACUGCAAUUUUAGCCCUGGCUUUAGGCAAUUUUCCAAAUGUAAAACUGCUUUCAAGAAAUCAGUGUGGUAUCACAGGGAGCUGGGGUCAGUAGAAAAAGAAGACACAAAGUCUCUCCUAGAACUCCAUAGGCCAAUCAAAUGACCUUUUAUAGAAACAACUGAAAUUCCUUUUUCAAAAGCACAGAAAUGCUAAUUGAAACCAAACCAAACAAACCCACCCCACAAGGACU
rnacentral:lncRNA from 1 species